rnacentral:rRNA from 1 species
GAUGAACGCUGGCGGCGUGCCUAAUACAUGCAAGUCGAGCGAACGGACGAGAAGCUUGCUUCUCUGAUGUUAGCGGCGGACGGGUGAGUAACACGUGGAUAACCUACCUAUAAGACUGGGAUAACUUCGGGAAACCGGAGCUAAUACCGGAUAAUAUUUUGAACCGCAUGGUUCAAAAGUGAAAGACGGUCUUGCUGUCACUUAUAGAUGGAUCCGCGCUGCAUUAGCUAGUUGGUAAGGUAACGGCUUACCAAGGCAACGAUGCAUAGCCGACCUGAGAGGGUGAUCGGCCCCACUGGAACUGAGCCACGGUCCCGACUCCUACGGGAGGCAGCAGUAGGGAAUCUUCCGCAAUGGGCGAAAGCCUGACGGAGCAACGCCGCGUGAGUGAUGAAGGUCUUCGGAUCGUAAAACUCUGUUAUUAGGGAAGAACAUAUGUGUAAGUAACUGUGCACAUCUUGACGGUACCUAAUCAGAAAGCCACGGCUAACUACGUG